GGUUAAGCGACUAAGCGUACACGGUGGAUGCCCUGGCAGUCAGAGGCGAUGAAGGACGUGCUAAUCUGCGAAAAGCGUCGGUAAGGUGAUAUGAACCGUUACAGCCGGCGAUGUCCGAAUGGGGAAACCCAGUGUGAUUCGUCACACUAUCGUUAACUGAAUACAUAGGUUAACGAGGCGAACCGGGGGAACUGAAACAUCUAAGUACCCCGAGGAAAAGAAAUCAACCGAGAUUCCCCCAGUAGCGGCGAGCGAACGGGGAGCAGCCCAGAGUCUGAAUCAGCUUGUGUGUUAGUGGAACGGUCUGGAAAGUCCGACGGUACAGGGUGAUAGUCCCGUACACCAAAAUGCACAGGUUGUGAACUCGAAGAGUAGGGCGGGACACGUGGUAUCCUGUCUGAAUAUGGGGGGACCAUCCUCCAAGGCUAAAUACUCCUGACUGACCGAUAGUGAACCAGUACCGUGAGGGAAAGGCGAAAAGAACCCCGGCGAGGGGAGUGAAAAAGAACCUGAAACCGUGUACGUACAAGCAGUGGGAGCACCUUUAUGGUGUGACUGCGUACCUUUUGUAUAAUGGGUCAGCGACUUAUAUUCUGUAGCAAGGUUAACCGUAUAGGGGAGCCGCAGGGAAACCGAGUCUUAACUGGGCGUUAAGUUGCAGGGUAUAGACCCGAAACCCGGUGAUCUAGCCAUGGGCAGGUUGAAGGUUGGGUAACACUAACUGGAGGACCGAACCGACUAAUGUUGAAAAAUUAGCGGAUGACUUGUGGCUGGGGGUGAAAGGCCAAUCAAACCGGGAGAUAGCUGGUUCUCCCCGAAAGCUAUUUAGGUAGCGCCUCGUGAACUCAUCUUCGGGGGUAGAGCACUGUUUCGGCUAGGGGGUCAUCCCGACUUACCAACCCGAUGCAAACUACGAAUACCGAAGAAUGUUAUCACGGGAGACACACGGCGGGUGCUAACGUCCGUCGUGAAGAGGGAAACAACCCAGACCGCCAGCUAAGGUCCCAAAGUCACAGUUAAGUGGGAAACGAUGUGGGAAGGCACAGACAGCCAGGAUGUUGGCUUAGAAGCAGCCAUCAUUUAAAGAAAGCGUAAUAGCUCACUGGUCGAGUCGGCCUGCGCGGAAGAUGUAACGGGGCUAAACUGUGCACCGAAGCUGCGGCAGCGACACUAUGUGUUGUUGGGUAGGGGAGCGUUCUGUAAGCCUGCGAAGGUGGCCUGUGAGGGUUGCUGGAGGUAUCAGAAGUGCGAAUGCUGACAUAAGUAACGAUAAUGCGGGUGAAAAGCCCGCACGCCGGAAGACCAAGGGUUCCUGUCCAACGUUAAUCGGGGCAGGGUGAGUCGACCCCUAAGGCGAGGCCGAAAGGCGUAGUCGAUGGGAAACAGGUUAAUAUUCCUGUACUUGGUGUUACUGCGAAGGGGGGACGGAGAAGGCUAUGUUAGCCGGGCGACGGUUGUCCCGGUUUAAGCAUGUAGGCGGAGGUUCCAGGUAAAUCCGGUACCUUUUAACGCUGAGGUGUGAUGACGAGGCACUACGGUGCUGAAGUAACAAAUGCCCUGCUUCCAGGAAAAGCCUCUAAGCAUCAGGUAACAUUGAAUCGUACCCCAAACCGACACAGGUGGUCAGGUAGAGAAUACCAAGGCGCUUGAGAGAACUCGGGUGAAGGAACUAGGCAAAAUGGUGCCGUAACUUCGGGAGAAGGCACGCUGAUAUGUAGGUGAAGUCCCUGCGGAUGGAGCUGAAAUCAGUCGAAGAUACCAGCUGGCUGCAACUGUUUAUUAAAAACACAGCACUGUGCAAACACGAAAGUGGACGUAUACGGUGUGACGCCUGCCCGGUGCCGGAAGGUUAAUUGAUGGGGUUAUCCGUAAGGAGAAGCUCUUGAUCGAAGCCCCGGUAAACGGCGGCCGUAACUAUAACGGUCCUAAGGUAGCGAAAUUCCUUGUCGGGUAAGUUCCGACCUGCACGAAUGGCGUAAUGAUGGCCAGGCUGUCUCCACCCGAGACUCAGUGAAAUUGAACUCGCUGUGAAGAUGCAGUGUACCCGCGGCAAGACGGAAAGACCCCGUGAACCUUUACUAUAGCUUGACACUGAACAUUGAGCCUUGAUGUGUAGGAUAGGUGGGAGGCUUUGAAGCGUGGACGCCAGUCUGCGUGGAGCCAACCUUGAAAUACCACCCUUUAAUGUUUGAUGUUCUAACGUUGGCCCCUGAUCGGGGUUGCGGACAGUGUCUGGUGGGUAGUUUGACUGGGGCGGUCUCCUCCCAAAGAGUAACGGAGGAGCACGAAGGUUAGCUAAUCCUGGUCGGACAUCAGGAGGUUAGUGCAAUGGCAUAAGCUAGCUUGACUGCGAGCGUGACGGCGCGAGCAGGUGCGAAAGCAGGUCAUAGUGAUCCGGUGGUUCUGAAUGGAAGGGCCAUCGCUCAACGGAUAAAAGGUACUCCGGGGAUAACAGGCUGAUACCGCCCAAGAGUUCAUAUCGACGGCGGUGUUUGGCACCUCGAUGUCGGCUCAUCACAUCCUGGGGCUGAAGUAGGUCCCAAGGGUAUGGCUGUUCGCCAUUUAAAGUGGUACGCGAGCUGGGUUUAGAACGUCGUGAGACAGUUCGGUCCCUAUCUGCCGUGGGCGCUGGAGAAUUGAGGGGGGCUGCUCCUAGUACGAGAGGACCGGAGUGGACGCAUCACUGGUGUUCGGGUUGUCAUGCCAAUGGCAUUGCCCGGUAGCUAAAUGCGGAAGAGAUAAGUGCUGAAAGCAUCUAAGCACGAAACUUGCCCCGAGAUGAGUUCUCCCUGACUCCUUGAGAGUCCUGAAGGAACGUUAAAGACGAUGACGUUGAUAGGUCGGGUGUGUAAGCGUAGCGAUACGUUGAGCUAACCGAUACUAAUGAACCGUGAGGCUUAACCUU
rnacentral:rRNA from 1 species